UUUGUGGCCUUUGCCCGAAAAAUGGAGGAUAAUAAUGAUGCCUUGAGAAGAGACUUGAAGGGUGGGUUUGAUAUUAUAAAAGGUGAUUUAGGAUCCAUGAGGCGUGACAUAAUUAGAAUUAAAGCGGGGGUUGAUAGACUAUGUCCACCAAAACCUCCACAAAAUUCACACCACCAAUUCCAAACCCAUCAUCAACCAAAUCCAAUGCCUCCUCUCCACAAGUUAGAAUC
rnacentral:lncRNA from 1 species